UCCCAACCCCUGUGAACAUACCACUUGUUGCCUCGGCGGAUCAGCCCGCUCCCGGUAAAACGGGACGGCCCGCCAGAGGACCCCUAAACUCUGUUUCUAUAUGUAACUUCUGAGUAAAACCAUAAAUAAAUCAAAACUUUCAACAACGGAUCUCUUGGUUCUGGCAUCGAUGAAGAACGCAGCAAAAUGCGAUAAGUAAUGUGAAUUGCAGAAUUCAGUGAAUCAUCGAAUCUUUGAACGCACAUUGCGCCCGCCAGUAUUCUGGCGGGCAUGCCUGUUCGAGCGUCAUUUCAACCCUCAAGCACAGCUUGGUGUUGGGACUCGCGUUAAUUCGCGUUCCUCAAAUUGAUUGGCGGUCACGUCGAGCUUCCAUAGCGUAGUAGUAAAACCCUCGUUACUGGUAAUCGUCGCGGCCACGCCGUUAAACCCCAACUUCUGAAUGUUGACCUCGGAUCAGGUAGGAAUACCCGCUGAACUUAAGC
rnacentral:rRNA from 1 species